rnacentral:rRNA from 1 species
UACGUAGGGGGCAAGCGUUGUCCGGAAUCAUUGGGCGUAAAGAGCGUGUAGGCGGCCCGGUAAGUCCGCUGUAAAAGUCAAAGGCUUAACCUUUGAAUGUCAGUGGAUACUGCCGGGCUAGAGUCCGGAAGAGGCGAGUGGAACUCCUGGUGUAGCGGUGGAAUGCGCAGAUAUCAGGAGGAACACCCGUGGCGAAAGCGGCUCUCUGGGACGGUACUGACGCUGAGACGCGAAAGCGUGGGGAGCAAACAGG